AAAAUAGGUGAGAGAUAGAUUCUUCCUCCUCUUGGCAAAAGGAGCACAGCGGGGAAAUGUUUUGGAUAAAUUUACUUAAAUAUUUAAGGGGUGUAAUGAUGAAUAAUUUUUAAAUGGACUUCUUUUACUUUAUUAGAAAAUAAACUUGUUGAGCACUGUCCAUACCGUCUGACAAUUAACAUUCGGGUUGAGAGCUAACUAUCUGCCAUAAGCUUUAAUAAUUGAACUAUUAUUAGUAAUAAAGUCUAUAGAGAGAUCCCAAAUCAGGUCAGAUUUGGUCACACCAUUUUCGCGCUUCCUGCGGUGAUGUGUGUAAACAUUGCACAUUGUUCUGAUUAAAAUUUAGUUUUCAAAGGGUGGAGUUGCUGCAGAAGAUGAUUCUGACGAUGAUGAUUUUGAGGAUGAAGACCACAGUCUUGCAGAUGGUGAUUCAGUUAGCCAGAAUAGUGUAACCCAUGGAGAAUGGGUCACUAUAAGGUAAGUUGUGAAGACAAUAGUCGGAAACCACCACACGCAGGAGUUGGGUCUCAGUUUUGGUCCAUUUUUGCCCAAGAGUGAUUAUAUCAACUGCUUUCUCUUUUGCUUUAACUGUAAAUAACAACAUCAAUAAGGUCAUGCAAACAAAAGGUGCAUCCACCAAACAAGGUAUGACUGAUGGUCAGUGCUUCAGUUCUGAUGAUGCACAUCAAAUUUGAAUCAUUCACUUAUAGUACGUUCACAAAAGUUGAGAAGGCACCCUUAUGUCUCCAUUUUCGUCUCCAGUCAAGACUCAUUCUAACGUAGCUCUUGGGCUCCUGACCAGAGGUUUCAUGCAGUUCCUUCACACAGUGCCAAAAGGAAUCCUUGACCUCAAUGAGGCUUCACAGAAUCUGGGCUCCUGAACGAGGCGGGUGUAUGACAUCACCAGCGUGCUAAAUGGCAUACAUCUAAUCAAAAAGACAUCCAAAAGCAAGAUCCAAUGGGUGACUCUAUCAAGGUCCACUUGAAGGGUUGCCGGGGCCCCAUCCAUAUACUGACCUGUGAGACAGAGGGACUUAGUGAUUCUGUGGAUCCAGCAAAUGCAGAAUCAAAACUUGUCAAACCUGGCUGCUUUCUAAUGCUAGAGGAGAUCCGGAUACACACAAAACCACUAAUAUCAGAUGUUUCAAGCACUGUAGCAGCUGUACAGAGUGCAUAAGGACCAUAGAAGCUAUACAUGGGGAGCCAUUGUUUCUUUGAGACAAAUUACCCCAUCUCAACAGACUUUGUUGGCCUGGAGAGACCAUCGUGCACAUUCACUCUCCAAAGCUUUAAGUUUAAAGGAAUAUUCCAGGUUCAAUAGAAGUAAAGCUAGAUUAACAUCAUUUGUGGUAUAAUGUUGAUUAUUAUCAUAAAAAUUAAUUUUUACUUGUCCCUCCUUUUCUUAAAAAAAAAAAGAAGAAAAAAAAAGGAAAAAAAAAGUGAAAAUCUGGGUUACAGUGAGGCACUAACAGUGGAAGUGAAUGGGGCUAACCCGUAAAUGUUAAAAUACUCACUGUUUCAAAAGUAUAGUUAAAAGAUGUACACAGUAUGCGUGUAAGCAUGAUUUAGUGCAAUAAACUUGCUUACAAAGCUCUAUGUAAAGUUAUAUCCAGUUUUACAACUGCGUUGUUACAAUUUGAAAAUGUUUUUGUGGUAAUCAAAAUUAUGCCAGAAAUGCUGUCGAUUGAGCUUAACUUGUGUUGAACCUGGACUAUUUAUUUUUGGACUAUUGUGAAGAAUCUUGGUUUGUAAUUAGUACAUGAAUGAGUUUCUUUGAACAGUUGAGAGUAUUUUUAUAUGAGCAUUAUGUUGACCCACCUAAACUUGUUAAAUGUAAAUGUUAAAUUCUUUCUUGGACUAAAUGAUAAUGCUGUAAGUAAAUAAAGUCAUGGCUCAUAGUCAGAGAUGAAUGAAAUACUGGCACUUUCUGGACCUUAUGUUCCAGUGUGGAAAGAUGUUCUUAUUUAUAGGGAAUGGAAUGGAUUAUUAAAGGAAUAGUUCACCCAGAAAUUAAUAUUCUGUCAUAAUUUACUCACCCUCAUGUCGUUCCAAACCUAUAUGAUUUUCCUUUUUGUGUAGCACAAAAGGAGAUGUCUUAAUCAAUAUUGUCGGCCAUUUUUUCAACACAAUGCACUGGGCAGUGCUCUUUAAAGCAUACAAAAAGGACCCAAAGGUAUCUUAAAAGUAGUCUAUGCGACAAAUGCAUCAUAUUCCAUGUCUUCUGAAGGCAUAUGAUUUUGGUGAGAAACAACCGGAAAUGUAAGUCUUGACGUCAAUUGCACAUUCAUGUUUGCUAUGAGAGAAGAUCAUAGACAAUGGCUUGCAUUGUUUAGCGCAAAUAACUAGUGUUGUUUGGUGCAAAAAACAAUGCAAGUUCUCUCGUAAGACACUAUCCACACUGUUGUUGUAAUGGAGGACUGCAAUAUUCAUGAAAACAUCCUAUUGUGUUCCGAAUAAGAAAAAGUCAUACAAGUUUGAAACGACAUAAGGAUGAGUAA